AUUGAACGUUGGCGGCAGGCUUAACACAUGCAAGUCGAGCGGAGAUGAGGUGCUUGCACCUUAUCUUAGCGGCGGACGGGUGAGUAAUGCUUAGGAAUCUGCCUAUUAGUGGGGGACAACAUUCCGAAAGGAAUGCUAAUACCGCAUACGUCCUACGGGAGAAAGCAGGGGAUCUUCGGACCUUGCGCUAAUAGAUGAGCCUAAGUCGGAUUAGCUAGUUGGUGGGGUAAAGGCCUACCAAGGCGACGAUCUGUAGCGGGUCUGAGAGGAUGAUCCGCCACACUGGGACUGAGACACGGCCCAGACUCCUACGGGAGGCAGUAGUGGGGAAUAUUGGACAAUGGGCGGAAGCCUGAUCCAGCCAUGCCGCGUGUGUGAAGAAGGCCUUUUGGUUGUAAAGCACUUUAAGCGAGGAGGAGGCUACUUAGAUUAAUACUCUGGGAUAGUGGACGUUACUCGCAGAAUAAGCACCGGCUAACUCUGUGCCAGCCGCCGCAGUAA
rnacentral:rRNA from 1 species